CAGUCGCCGCGGUAAUACAGAGGGUGCGAGCGUUAAUCGGAUUUACUGGGCGUAAAGCGUGCGUAGGCGGCUUCUUAAGUCGGAUGUGAAAUCCCUGAGCUUAACUUAGGAAUUGCAUUCGAUACUGGGAAGCUAGAGUAUGGGAGAGGAUGGUAGAAUUCCAGGUGUAGCGGUGAAAUGCGUAGAGAUCUGGAGGAAUACCGGUGGCGAAGGCGGCCCCCUGGACAAAGACUGACGCUCAGGUGCGAAAGCGUGGGGAGCAAACAGGAUUAGAUACCCCUGUAGUCCCUGUCUCUUAUAA
rnacentral:rRNA from 1 species